rnacentral:rRNA from 1 species
CAAUAGCGUAUAUUAAAGUUGUUGCAGUUAAAAAGCUCGUAGUUGGAUUUCUGAUCGAGACAUCAGGUCGGGUCCGAGAGGAGCAUGUACUUUGAUUUUGUUUUGAUCAUCCUUGGGGAGAGCAUUUCUGGCAUUCAGUUGUCGGGAUUGGGAUCCUCAUCGUUUACUGUGAAAAAAUUAGAGUGUUCAAAGCAGGCCUCGGCCUCUGAAUACAUUAGCAUGGAAUAAUAAGAUAGGACUUUGGUGGUCUAUUUUGUUGGUUUGCACGCCAAAGUAAUGAUUAAUAGGGAUAGUUGGGGGUAUUCGUAUUCAAUUGUCAGAGGUGAAAUUCUUGGAUUUAUGGAAGACGAACUACUGCGAAAGCAUUUACCAAGGAUGUUUUCAUUAA